GUCUGUAUGUUGUUUUUGACUGUCAUAUUUGCUCUCUUGUAGGAGUUUUUUUUUUGGUGACGUAACCCUAGUUGAUUUUGUAUCUUUGGUGUGCUGUAUAACACAAAGAGUUCCUUUCUUUAUUUUGGAUCAGGUAAGUUCCCUGGGCCUGUGUUGGUGCCUGUUUUGUUUAUUGGUCUGUAUGUUGUUUUUGACUGUCAUAUUUGCUCUCUUGUAGGAGUUUUUUUUUGGGUGACGUAACCCUAGUUGAUUUUGUAUCUUUGGUGUGCUGUAUAACACAAAGAGUUCCUUUCUUUAUUUUGGAUCAGGUAAGUUCCCUGGGCCUGUGUUGGUGCCUGUUUUGUUUAUUGGUCUGUAUGUUGUUUUUGACUGUCAUAUUUGCUCUCUUGUAGGAGUUUUUUUUUGGGUGACGUAACCCUAGUUGAUUUUGUAUCUUUGGUGUGCUGUAUAACACAAAGAGUUCCUUUCUUUAUUUUGGAUCAGGUAAGUUCCCUGGGCCUGUGUUGGUGCCUGUUUUGUUUAUUGGUCUGUAUGUUGUUUUUGACUGUCAUAUUUGCUCUCUUGUAGGAGUUUUUUUUUGGGUGACGUAACCCUAGUUGAUUUUGUAUCUUUGGUGUGCUGUAUAACACAAAGAGUUCCUUUCUUUAUUUUGGAUCAGGUAAGUUCCCUGGGCCUGUGUUGGUGCCUGUUUUGUUUAUUGGUCUGUAUGUUGUUUUUGACUGUCAUAUUUGCUCUCUUGUAGGAGUUUUUUUUUGGGUGACGUAACCCUAGUUGAUUUUGUAUCUUUGGUGUGCUGUAUAACACAAAGAGUUCCUUUCUUUAUUUUGGAUCAGAAAAAAAUGUCUUACGCUCCUGCAAUCCUUUCCCUGAACGCUAAGUUUACUGGAAGUUCCCAUGAUGCGUAUGUCAUUAGACAAUCAGGGAUAUGGCACAGAUUAAGAUCAAGUCAACGAGCAGACAUGUGGUUAUUGGGAGACCGUGGAUAUCCUUGCACCCCCUGGCUCAUGACUCCUUACCGUAAUCCCAGGCCAGGACCACAGACGGCAUUUAACUCCACGCUUACUGCCACUAGGCAGCUGGUGGAGCGCACAAUUGGGGUCCUUAAAGGGCGGUUUCGUGUGCUCCACCGCACUGGUGGCGACAUCAUGUAUUCGCCGGAGAUGGCAAGUAAAAUAGUGGUCCUGUGCGCUAUACUCCACAAUAUCGCGGUAAGGAAUAGCGUAGAGCUUCCUCAGACAGAGGAAUUGCCUGAUGAGGAGCCAGGGGUUGUCCGACACUUCGGUGGGGGGAGUGUUACAAGGAGGGGGAGCCAAGUCAGGGCAAGCAUUGUUGCUGAAUUUUUCAGGUAUAGUGUUUUUUUUUACUCUAUUGUUACCAAAAUAAAAGCACAGUAUGCAUCAUUUUGUAUUUAAAUGUAGAAAUUGUGUUUGCUAUUGUAAGGUCAUUGUGUAAUGCUUUUUGUGUGUUUGAAUCUGUUUUUUUUUUUAUCUUCAAAAAACAAUAACACGUUAAGCUGACAAUUUAAUUUUGUGUCAAACAAUACUGUGAUGUUGCUAAAUAGUGUCCUUAUUUUUUUACUAUUCUAACAUCAUGAUUAUUUAAACAAAAACACAAACAAAUGAAACUGAAUGUUGCCCACUUUGUGAAUGUCCAGCUGAAAGACCACACAAACUGAGGACGACCACAACGGCAAGCACCACAUGAUGCACCAGCUCAGCACCCUUCCCCUUCUCACUCCCCCUCCACUUCCCAGUCCCCCUCCCCUUCUCACUCCCCCUCCCCUUCUCACUCCCCCUCCCCUUCUCACUCCCCCUCCCCUUCUCACUCCCCCUCAGCUUCCCAAUCCCCCUCAGCUUCCCAAUCACCCUCAGCUUCACAAUCCACCUCAGCUUCCCAGUCACCCUCAGCUUCCCAGGCCCCCUCAGCUUCCCAGGCCCACUCCACUUUCCACUCCCCUUCUCAGCCAACCUCUCCUUCUCUUUCUGUGACCCCUUCUCCUCCUUCCCAUACCCCUUCUCCUUCUACUUCCAACUCACCUUCUCAGCCCCCCUCACCCUCUAUUGGCCUAACAUUUUCACCGCCCCCCUCGCCCUCUCAAUCAGACCCACCCUCUGAAAUUACAUCCCCAAUCCAACCUCCUUCCCCCAUCCAGCCUCCUUCCCCCAUCCAGCCUCCUUCCCCAAUCCCUCCUCCUUCCCCCAUCCAGCCGCCUUCCCCCAUCCAGCCGCCAUCCCCACCCAGUGAAUGGGCAGAGGAAGCCCCUGAAGACAGUUCAGGGAGUCUUCAUGUUGCCGAGGAAAAUGUUGCAGUUGGAGAUCCCACAAGUUUUGGAGGCAUUCUUUACACCAUGCGCCAACACCUGCAAGGAUUAAUGCAUUGUGUUGACAAUUUGCAAAAAUAUGCAUGAUAUUGUUUAU